rnacentral:lncRNA from 1 species
GCCAUAGGUCCUCAAUAGCUAAACUCAUAUUUCUGUUCCUCUCUUUUGCCUUAGCUCCCAGAGCUGCUUACACCUGCUUGGCUGAUUUCCCUGGGCUGUGCUGAGGAGUGAGAAGGGGUGAGAGGAGCUGGUACUAAUGCAUACGUAUUACCAGCAGCCACCGAAUCACUGCAUGUUUGAGGCUGGAAAGGACCUCUUGAAGUCAUCUAGCCCACACCCCUGCUCUAGCAGGGCCACUUACAGCAGGUUGACCAGGACUAUGUCCAGGUGGCUUUUGAAGAUCUUCAAGGAAAGAGACUCUGCAGACUCUCUAGGCAACUUGUGCCAGAGCUCAGUCACCUGUGCAGUAAAGAUGUGCUUCCUGGUGUUUAGAUAGAAUCUCUUGUGCUCCAGACUCAUUGCCUCUUGUCCUGUCAGAAUCGAAGUUGACUAGUGUUCUUCUAAAAUAUUCUUUCACAUGUUCUGAAAUAUGACUGAUGAUAACUUUGAUGGUUAUGGUUAUACUAGGAUUUCGUAUGUAUGUCCUACAUCAGUGCUUAGCAUAUUAGAAUGGUAUUAGAAAAAUGAGAUAUAUUCUCCCAAGAUCACUAAUGGAUUUAAUUUUGAGGGAACAGAGAAAUAUUGUAAGUUCACCAAGACACAGGUCAAAGGAAAAUGAAGCUGUAAAAAAGUCCCCCUGAUUUUAGCUGGUUUAAAUUUCAGAAAACCCAGAAGAGGGACCAAGUGCUCAUAAAGAAUUUAAGCAAUUGGGGUCUCGUUAUAUGACAGUUUGGGAAGUUAUCUGCAGAAAUGAGCUGUGCUUAGGAAGACUCAACUGUUCCAAGAAACAAACCAUAAUUCCAGUUUAGGAACCAUAGGAAGGUUCAAGGGAAUGGAUUGCUCCAGUUUGUGGCACAGGGAUUACUCCUCUGCUGGCAGAUCUCCCCAUCUGCAGCUGCACCCUUUAUUUGAUCUUAGUUUGAACUGCUAAGGUUGGGGCAAAAUUGCAGCAAUGCUGUCAAGCCAAAUUCUAAGCAGUAAAUCUCAUAAAGGGAAAACUAAAUACACAAAAAUUUUACCAAGAAAAUAUAUAGUGUAGCAUUAUCCUAGAGGAAAUGCAAUGUGUUGAUUCUGUCACUGUUCCUUGAAUGCAAAAACAUUAAUCUCUUCUGAUUCUUUGAGAAACAGUGAUUCUGUUAAUAGGAUAUCAAAUUUUGACUCUCAUUCUGUAGUUUAUCUAUAAUAUUCAGGAAAUUAAUUGUAUCACUUUACAAUUAUAGGUAAUGCUGUCUAUUUCAAAGGCUCAUUCACUACAUUUAUUUAACUGUCAUAUAAUAGCUGAAAAUGGAUAAGUUUAUCAUAAACUGAACUGAUAAUUACUUCAAUAUUUGGAAAGU